rnacentral:rRNA from 1 species
CCUACGGGUGACAGCAGUGGGGGAUAUUGCACAAUGGGGGAAACCCUGAUGCAGCGACGCCGCGUGUGGGAAGACGGUCCUCUGGAUUGUAAACCACUGUCCCCAGGGACGAAGAUGACGGUACCUGGGGCGGAAGCUCCGGCUAACUACGUGCCAGCAGCCGCGGUAACACGCCGGGAGCGAGCGUGGUCCGGAAUAACUGGGUGAAACGGGAGCGUAGGCGGGGAUGCAAGUUGGGUGUCAAAACUACCGGCUCAACUGGUAGUCGCACUCAAAACUGCAGAUCUUGAGUGAAGUAGAGGCAGGCGGAAUUCGUAGUGUAGCGGUGAAAUGCGUAGAUAUUAGGAGGAACACCAGUGGCGAAGGCGGCCUGCUGGGCUUUUACUGACGCUGAGGCUCGAAAGUGUGGGGAGCAAACAGGAUUAGAUACCCCGGUAGUC